GGGGAAUUAGCUCAGCUGGUAGAGCGCUUGCAUGGCAUGCAAGAGGUCAGCGGUUCGACCCCGCUAUUCUCCA
rnacentral:tRNA from 2 species